rnacentral:rRNA from 1 species
GAUGAACGCUGGCGGCGUGCCUAAUACAUGCAAGUCGAGCGAACAGACGAGGGGCUUGUUCCUUCGACGUUAGCGGCGGACGGGUGAGUAACACGUGGGUAACCUGCCCAUCAGAGGGGGAUAACAUUCGGAAACGGAUGCUAAAACCGCAUAGGUUCUACAGUCGCAUGACUGAAGAAGGAAAAGAGGCUUCGGCUUCUGCUGAUGGAUGGACCCGCGGUGCAUUAGCUAGUUGGUAAGGUAACGGCUUACCAAGGCAACGAUACGUAGCCGACCUGAGAGGGUGAUCGGCCACACUGGAACUGAGACACGGUCCAGACUCCUACGGGAGGCAGCAGUAGGGAAUCUUCCGCAAUGGGCGAAAGCCUGACGGAGCAACGCCGCGUGAGUGAUGAAGGUCUUCGGAUCGUAAAACUCUGUUAUUAGGGAAGAACAAACGUGUAAGUAACUGUGCACGUCUUGACGGUACCUAAUCAGAAAGCCACGGCUAACUACGUGCCAGCAGCCGCGGUAAUACGUAGGUGGCAAGCGUUAUCCGGAAUUAUUGGGCGUAAAGCGCGCGUAGGCGGCUUCUUAAGUCUGAUGUGAAAGCCCACGGCUCAACCGUGGAGGGUCAUUGGAAACUGGAAAACUUGAGUGCAGAAGAGGAAAGUGGAAUUCCAUGUGUAGCGGUGAAAUGCGCAGAGAUAUGGAGGAACACCAGUGGCGAAGGCGACUUUCUGGUCUGUAACUGACGCUGAUGUGCGAAAGCGUGGGGAUCAAACAGGAUUAGAUACCCUGGUAGUCCACGCCGUAAACGAUGAGUGCUAAGUGUUAGGGGGUUUCCGCCCCUUAGUGCUGCAGCUAACGCAUUAAGCACUCCGCCUGGGGAGUACGACCGCAAGGUUGAAACUCAAAGGAAUUGACGGGGACCCGCACAAGCGGUGGAGCAUGUGGUCUAAUUCGAAGCAACGCGAAGAACCUUACCAAAUCUUGACAUCCUUUGACCCUUCUAGAGAUAGAAGUUUCCCCUUCGGGGGACAAAGUGACAGGUGGUGCAUGGUUGUCGUCAGCUCGUGUCGUGAGAUGUUGGGUUAAGUCCCGCAACGAGCGCAACCCUUAAGCUUAGUUGCCAUCAUUAAGUUGGGCACUCCAAGUUGACUGCCGGUGACAAACCGGAGGAAGGUGGGGAUGACGUCAAAUCAUCAUGCCCCUUAUGAUUUGGGCUACACACGUGCUACAAUGGACAAUACAAAGGGCAGCGAAACCGCGAGGUCAAGCAAAUCCCAUAAAGUUGUUCUCAGUUCGGAUUGUAGUCUGCAACUCGACUACAUGAAGCUGGAAUCGCUAGUAAUCGUAGAUCAGCAUGCUACGGUGAAUACGUUCCCGGGUCU